GCCAAUGUGACAUAGUGGUUAGGGGGUUGGACUGUGACUCUGGUGGCCAGGGUUCGAAUCCCUAUUCAGCCA